rfam:Felis catus isolate Cinnamon breed Abyssinian chromosome B2, whole genome shotgun sequence.
GCCUGGGUGGCUCAGUCGGUUGAGCAUCUGACUUCAGAUCAGGUCAUGGUCUCCUGGUUCGUGGGUUCGAGCCCCGCAUCGGGCU